AGUCUCGCCCCAGCUCCCGGCGCCCAGCACCGCGCGUGUCCGUACCCGCGCCCAGGACGCCCUACUCCCAAGGCGCUUCUCUCUUUGCGCAUCCUACCUAUGCCUCGGAUUCUCACGCUCAGCGUGACCCGCGUCUUGGAUACCCAACGUCCUGUCCAUCCGGCGCCUGGACAUCCACUUUUCUCUUUACCCUAUGCCAGAAAACCCUCACACCCAGGUGGCCCGCGCCUAGGACACCCCACGUACGGAUCCCCCGGCGUCUUGGAGACCCUACAUUCUGUGCAUCUAGCAUUUGGCGCACCCUGACCUCAGACGUGGAUAGCUCUACUCACCUGUGCCCUCUGCCCUCCUCCUGUGUCCACGUGUGUUGAGCUCCAGUGCUGACCGACCUGGGUGCUGGUUUCCUCCACCUUCCUCUGUCCCCGAUCUUCUGAGUCCUCUACCUCAGGGCUGGCGCCCUCAGUCGUGGGUGUCCUGUUUCUUCGUAUUCCUUAGGUCCGUGUGCCGGAGGUGCGAGAACCCAUGCGAGGGCGGCGCAGGGGUUGGGGUUGGUAAUGAAACACGUUCCUGGUCUCAGGAAAAAUGCUCAGCCCUCCACUGCCCACCAGGCACCCCCAGCACAGAUACACCUAGAGCCCACUCGGCCAGCAUUUUUGACCCUGAGGGGCUUCUCAUUCAGUGUAUUAAUUCCUUCCAUGUAUUCCUCAAACACGGAGGACCCCUUACAGCAUUUAGUGGCUGGGGGCCAGAUGUUGAGAAUGCCCUAGUGUCUUGCCAGUAAGACUGGAGUUCCUCUCUGGGGCAUCCCUGUUCAGUGGGUAAGGCAGGCACAGAAAGCAUGAUGGAAAUAGCCCUGGAAAGUAAGCAGGGUGCUAAGGGGAGUGGAUGGUGAACUGUCCAAGCCUUGAAGAGUGGGUGGGGUGGAGUUCUGUGUGCCCCUGCCUCUCCUGGAGGCUUCCUAUACCCCCACCUUGGGCACUGCUGGAGCCCCAUCCUGUCCUUUAUACCUCGGCUCAAGUGAAAAGGCAGGUAAAGGGGUCUCAGAAUUGAGCUGGGAGGAUAUUGUGUGGGUGGGGAUUAAUUCCAACUGCUGUCAUUGGCAGGGGCAAGGCAAUGCAUUCAGUUAACAAGCAUGUGUUGAGCACCUACUGUGCACCUGGCAUUGUGCUAGCUGCUGGGAACACAGCAGUGAAUAAGGCAGACAAGCUUCUCUGUUCUUGGGGCUGACAUUCCAAUCAGAAAGACAGAUGAGAAAUCAGACAAUUAAAAGGUACAGGAUGUUAGAGGAUGAUCAGUGCUAUGGAAGAAAAUUAAGGAAGACAGAACAUGGUGACCGGAGAAGGCAAUGGCACCCCACUCCAAUACUCUUGCCUGGACAAUCCCAUGGACGGAGGAGCCUGGUGGGCUGCAGUCCAUGGGGUCGCUAAGAGUCGGACAGGACUGAGCAACUUCACUUUCACUUUUCACUUUCCUGCAUUGGAGAAGGAAAUGGCAACCCACUCCAGUGUUCUUGCCUGGAGAAUCCCAGGGACGGGGGAGCCUGGUGGGCUGCCGUCUAUGGGGUCGCACAGAGUGGGACACGACUGAAGCGACUUAGCAGCAGCAGCAGCAGCAGAACAUGGUGAUGGCUGCAGUUUUAGAUAGAGGAGGUCAGGGAAGAGCUCACUAAGAAGGUGGUAUUUGGAUAAAGACUUAAAAGGAGUCCUGGGGAGAUCGGCGGUGGGGGGGAGGGGGUUCCAGGCAGAGAGAACAGCCAGCGUAAAGGUCCUGAGGUGGAAACAUGCUGGGUGUUCAAAGGAUCAAUGAGCGGGCCUGUGUGGCUGGAGGGAGGGGGUGAGGGCAAAAAGAGAGGAAGGUGAGGGUAGGGAGGUAAUGGGCUAGACCAUCCUGGCCUGAUGUGCUUCGGGGAGAAUUGGUUUUUAAUCGGAGUCACCUGGGAGCAAUGGAAGGUUCUAGGCAGAGGAGGGUUUUCCCCUGACUUAUAUGUUCACAGGAACCUUCUGGCCCUGGUAAGAUUUGAGAAGGAGCCAGGAGACUGGGGAGAUGGAUUCCACAGUCAAUCCAGCUGAGAGGUGAUGGAGGCCUGGAACAGGGUGCUGGGGAGAAAGGGCCAGAUUUGAGGCACAGCCUAGGGACAGAGCCAAUAGGACACGUUAGUCUUUGAAUCCCCCUUCCCCAGCAGAACUUCUCAAAUGUCACCUCUGGAUCACAGUGCGGACGCUGCACCUUCCUCACUCCCAAGAAACAAGAGUCCAGGAAGCCACCCAGGUCCAGUCUGAGCAACAGCUGGCAGGCAGCAAUGGUGGUCCAUUCCCGCAUGCAGAACUUCCCUGAACCCAUGUCCCCUGCAUCAGAAACAUGGAGCCUUAACCACCAGAACACCAGGGAAUUCCUGACCAGCAUCCUUAGAAGAGAAGAGGAAAGGACAGUGGAAAAGGCCACAUGAAGAUGGCGGCAGAAGUUGGAGUGAUGCAGUCACACAGCAAGGCACACCUGGAAACGCCAGACGCUGGCCUGAGCCUCUCCACUGACCUUCAGCUGCCUCCCUGGGUGUCUGCACUUGGAAACCUGAUGGGUAUGCCCAGAGUGUGGGGCUUCCCAGGUGGCCCAGUGGUUAAGAAUCUGCCUUGUAAUGCAGCAGACACCAGGUUCCUUCCUGGUCUGGGAAGACCCCAUAUGCUGAGGGGCAGCUAAGACGG
ensembl:lncRNA